rnacentral:rRNA from 1 species
UACGGGGGGAGCAAGCGUUGUUCGGAUUUACUGGGCGUAAAGGGCGCGUAGGCGGCCAGCACAAGUCAGUUGUGAAAUCUCCGAGCUUAACUCGGAAAGGUCAACUGAUACUGUGCGGCUAGAGUGCAGAAGGGGCAACUGGAAUUCUUGGUGUAGCGGUGAAAUGCGCAGAUAUCAGGAGGAACACCGAUGGCGAAGGCAGCUCACUGGGACGGUACUGACGCUGAGACGCGAAAGCGUGGGGGAGCAAACAGG